rnacentral:tRNA from 1 species
GGUUGUAUGGUGUAAUGGUUAGCACUCUGGACUCUGAAUCCAGCGAUCUGAGUUCAAAUCUUGGUAGUACCU